UACAGAGGUCUCAAGCGUUGUUCGGAUUCAUUGGGCGUAAAGGGUGCGUAGGCGGCGCGGUAAGUCGGGUGUGAAAUCUUGGAGCUUAACUCCGAAACUGCAUUCGAUACUGCCGUGCUUGAGGACUGGAGAGGAGACUGGAAUUUACGGUGUAGCGGUGAAAUGCGUAGAUAUCGUAAGGAAGACCAGUGGCGAAGGCGGGUCUCUGGACAGUAACUGACGCUGAGGCACGAGAGCGUGGGUAGCAAACAGG
rnacentral:rRNA from 1 species